rnacentral:rRNA from 1 species
GAUGAACGCUGGCGGCGUGCCUAAUACAUGCAAGUCGAGCGAACAGAUAAGGAGCUUGCUCCUUUGACGUUAGCGGCGGACGGGUGAGUAACACGUGGGUAACCUACCUAUAAGACUGGGAUAACUUCGGGAAACCGGAGCUAAUACCGGAUAACAUUUGGAACCGCAUGGUUCUAAAGUGAAAGAUGGUUUUGCUAUCACUUAUAGGUGGACCCGCGCCGUAUUAGCUAGUUGGUAAGGUAACGGCUUACCAAGGCAACGAUACGUAGCCGACCUGAGAGGGUGAUCGGCCACACUGGAACUGAGACACGGUCCAGACUCCUACGGGAGGCAGCAGUAGGGAAUCUUCCGCAAUGGGCGAAAGCCUGACGGAGCAACGCCGCGUGAGUGAUGAAGGGUUUCGGCUCGUAAAACUCUGUUAUUAGGGAAGAACAAACGUGUAAGUAACUGUGCACGUCUUGACGGUACCUAAUCAGAAAGCCACGGCUAACUACGUG